GAUGAACACUAGCGGCAGGCUUAAUACAUGCAAGUCGUGGGGCAGCAGGUUUGUAGCAAUACAGAUGCUGGCGACCGGCAAACGGGUGCGGAACACGUACAGAACCUUCCUUUGAGCGGGGAAUAGCCCAGAGAAAUUUGGAUUAAUACCCCAUAGUAUAAUGAAGUGGCAUCACUUUAUUAUUAAAGAUUUAUCAUUCGAAGAUGGCUGUGCGGCUGAUUAGGUAGUUGGCGGGGUAAAGGCCCACCAAGCCUGCGAUCAGUAACUGGUGUGAGAGCACGACCAGUCACACGGGGCACUGAGACACGGGCCCGACUCCUACGGGAGGCAGCAGUAAGGAAUAUUGGUCAAUGGAGGCGAACUCUGAACCAGCCAUGCCGCGUGGAGGAUGAAGGUCCUCUGGAUUGUAAACUUCUUUUAUAUGGGACGAAAAAAGGCUUUUCUAAGUCGUCUGACGGUACCAUAUGAAUAAGCACCGGCUAACUCCGUGCCAGCA
rnacentral:rRNA from 1 species